rnacentral:rRNA from 1 species
GGAUUAGAUACCCUGGUAGUCCACGCCCUAAACGAUGUCUACUAGUUGUCGGGACUUAAUUGUCUUGGUAACGCAGCUAACGCGUGAAGUAGACCGCCUGGGGAGUACGGUCGCAAGAUUAAAACUCAAAGGAAUUGACGGGGACCCGCACAAGCGGUGGAUGAUGUGGAUUAAUUCGAUGCAACGCGAAAAACCUUACCUACCCUUGACAUGUACGGAACCUCUGAGAGAUUAGAGGGUGCUCGAAAGAGAGCCGUAACACAGGUGCUGCAUGGCUGUCGUCAGCUCGUGCCG